CACGUAGGCGGUUUAUAAAGUUGGAUGUGAAAUCUUCGGGCUUAACCUGGAGCGUGCAUUCAAGACUCAUAAACUAGAGGGCAGUAGAGGAGAGUGGAAUUUCCGGUGUAGCGGUAAAAUGCGUAGAGAUCGGAAAGAACACCAGUGGCGAAGGCGACUCUCUGGACUGUUCACUGACGCUGAGGUGCGAAAGCGUGGGAGCAAACA
rnacentral:rRNA from 1 species